GGGGAAUCUUGCGCAAUGGGCGGAAGCCUGACGCAGCGACGCCGCGUGGGGGAUGAAGGCCUUCGGGUUGUAAACCUCUUUCAGCAGGGACGAAGGUGACGUGUACCUGCAGAAGAAGCGCCGGCUAACUACGUGCCAGCAGCCGCGGUAAUACGUAGGGCGCGAGCGUUGUCCGGAAUUAUUGGGCGUAAAGAGCUCGUAGGCGGCUGGUCGCGUCUGCCGUGAAAGGCCUGGGCUUAACUCGGGUUUUGCGGUGGAUACGGGCCGGCUAGAGGUAGGUAGGGGAGAACGGAAUUCCUGGUGUAGCGGUGAAAUGCGCAGAUAUCAGGAGGAACACCGGUGGCGAAGGCGGUUCUCUGGGCCUAUCCUGACGCUGAGGAGCGAAAGCGUGGGGAGCGAAC
rnacentral:rRNA from 1 species